rnacentral:lncRNA from 1 species
AGCUGUUGUCAGACAUAGCUGGAAUCAGUGAUACCAGCAAGGCCGCCAAGAAAUUAUUUCGGCGUGUAUACACAGAGCAGGAGAGGUUGGGCAGGAGUCUUUCUGGGGGAAGACUUCAAAAAGACCUGGACUGGAGGACCAAUCCAAACUUCAAAUUGUCUUUGAAAUAAUGCGGGAGAAGUAUGGGGCAGAGGAAGCUCUUGUGAGGUUUCGUUUGAGAGACUUAAUAAAGCCGUCACGGAAUAAUGAUACUGUCUAAAAACAGAAAAAAGGUGUAUA